rnacentral:lncRNA from 1 species
UAAAAACGUUGCAGCUGACUACGCAUGACCUUUCUGCGAGGAACUUGAAACAUUGUACUAACAAAUUUGCAACAUUGUUUAAAAUAUUAAAGUAUUCUGGAGUUUCAUGAGCCAGUGAGCUCUGGACAGGCACAGCUGUAGGCUAUUUGCGCAAGGGAUAAUAAGUAAUCAGGUAGGCCUAUUUUAUGACGUUUCCACCGGAUCAGAGCAUGACAUUUUUUUUCUCCCUUUCUCACUGAGUGAUUAUCAAAAGGGAGAGAGCUGGAAAUAUUUUUCAAGUAUGCGAAAUUAAGGAACUAUUGUCAUUCUCAGUGGAUAUAAAAACAGACUUCCUUUACUUGCUGUUUUGAGGUGAAGAAAAAAUGACUUAGAAGCUCCACAGCUCAUUAGUGGUGGUGAGUUAAGACGAUCAGAAAUACUAUCAGAUCCCCAAAUGGGCACAUUUAUAAGCCUACAUUUGCAUGCAGGCCCAGCAGCCAAGGCUCACUUCUAUACGUAAUCGGGUGCGUAUCCUUCCUCAACAUUGACAGUAGCGCUCCAAACAGUGAAAAAAUUGACAACUCGUAAAUGGAAUGAAAUAAACCAAAACUUGUUUCUCACAAUUGUAGCCUCUGCAAACAGCGUGUCCACCCUGACAAUGAGAACUGUAAAAGACUAUAGUAAUAAUAAUAUUGAAUGCAUUAACAGAAAUUACGGUAACCAAACAAACAUUGUAGAUUCGAAAUGAUGGCAAUUAACAGUAAAUGUACUAGUGGUGAUACUGGUAUGCCAUCUCCAUGGCCUCCGCAACGGAAUGGUCCACUGAAACAGGCGUCAAUCAAGACGUGCCAUAAAAAAAAAAGAUUUUUGCAACUGUUCGACUAAAAAAUUCUCAGUCCACCAACAGCCUAUCGACCAGUCGACUAAAUGGGGUCAGCCCUAGUACGCACACACAAACACACACAAGUGUGUCCUUUUCUGUCUCUAGGUCCACCAACAGAACUCGCUCCCCCACCAGAGGACAUCAGGCCAGUGGCAGAACCCAAUGAGAGGUCUAAUCAGCAACACUGGUUCGCAGACGCACAGCGGCCACACAGCAGUUCACCUGUCUAGUAUGCCCACCCCGCUGCGUCUGGGAGGCUGGACGGAGGAACAGGAGGAGGAGGAAGAGGAAGUCCUCAACAGGGGAUCGACUCCUAAACAGGACUCCAGGAGUAGUUGUUAAAGUGCCUUAAAUAAAGGGUGUUUACACUCCUUUCUCGAUGAACAGUGUGGCCUUAGAUGAUCCUUUUUGGAGAGUAUUAUGACAUCACGUAACACAACAAGGCAGUUGGGAGAGCUCAUUGGAUAACCAUUGUCUCAGUCUCCACCCCACUACCAUGCCUCUCCUAUCACAUCAGGAGUUGUUGUGGCAUCAGGGAAACUGACCUGUCUUCCAUCCCUAUCGCCAUGUCAUAAUUUUGUUAUAAAAUGUAUAAAUAUCGCUCAUAGAGGACUGGAGUCUAUAUGUGUGUGUGUUUGUGUGAGUGUGAAAGAGCGUUGUGUGUGUGUUUAGAACUCGGGGAAAGGGUGGCAUGCACAGCCAGGACACUUGCAGGGCAGGCUUGAGCAUGGUACAUAGCAACACCUGUCACACUUUUGUUGCGUUUCUUCAUGUGUUUAUUUUAUUAACGUUUUAUUUGUGCAUCUGGGAGGUUUACAAUGUGGGUCUGGGUUCACUUUCUCAUGGUGGAAAUGGUGUCUUAUCUGGUGCUGAAGAGAGUAUGGAGUGAAGGUCUAUCAUACUAGCUGCCUGACCAUUUUCACUAUAUGAGGAAAGUUGAGUACAAAAUUAUACAUUGGCGUAUUUGGCCAUUACUUAUUAUUGCUUGACAUUUGUAAAUACACUUUAGCGUCUUACCUCUAUAUGUUCUGGCAGUUUUAAUGAUUGGGAAAGAUGCGAAGUAAUGCAGUGACAUGAAGUAGGCUGCAACUAUACUACUUAGGUCACCAUUAGGACCCAACAAGAAAAUCUGACAAAAGCCUCCAGAUGGACUAGAUUCAUUAACCACGUUUCUAAACUGGACAUAAUCUCAUUGAAAGCUGCUGUCUAUGACUUUAAUGGGCUUAAUACCAUGUUUUCUUCAGUAUUAAGUUAUUUAUCUUCUUUUUAAAGUCCUUGGGGACCCUUAAAACAGUAUUUAACAGGUAAUAACUUGAUUAUUCUGUAUCAAAGGAUCACCAAUGUUCUGUCUCCACUGGCAACAGAGAUGUGUUACUUGACAAAUGCACGAAGAUCAAGAUGACAUAUUUGCCCAGGCAGUAACUACAUUGUUGUGGGUAGCUAUGAGAAUAGGCAAUGCAGAGUCGCAUAUCAUGUACAGUAAAUCAUUAAGUGUUGUUGAUUUUGCAUGUACUGCUCAACAUUUUGUUCACGGAACACUUCCCCCCCAAUGUACACAGAAGAAGUGAACUUUUUAUUAUACGGGCUGUUCCUAAAAUUGUCAUUACAGCAGUUGGAGUUUGUGGUUUUACUUUAUUUGUAAGUUAAUCCUAUGUCAGUAUUUUACUUUUCUCAGAGAACAGCCUAAGAUGUCAUUUUAAAUAAGAUAAUUCUCCCUUUGUUGUCCCAAAUAUUUAAACUGUCCAGAUUUCUGAGAUAUGACCUAUAAUGAAUUAUUUAAUUAAUUACAAUAUGAGUGAAAUAGUAAUUAUGUUAAGAAGCAGCUUUUCUUUGUUGGUGGUAUGGGUGAACCCCAACAACAGAAUGUUUUGGGUGUAUACCGGUCAUGCAAAUAGAGAGCUGAUUGGCCAGCUCAGCCAAUGAGCCAACGCGAUAUCGUAUUAUAUGACAAAAUUGCAAGCAUUUUUUUAAUAGUCUGGUUGAGAUACAAGUUUGAUGUGGGUUUUUUGAAGUCCUUUUUUUUUCUCUUCAAUUUAUGUUUUGUACACAAAUACAAGUAUAGGACGAGUCAGCA